rnacentral:rRNA from 1 species
AGUGAACGCUGGCGGUAGGCCUAACACAUGCAAGUCGAACGGCAGCACAGUAAGAGCUUGCUCUUACGGGUGGCGAGUGGCGGACGGGUGAGGAAUACAUCGGAAUCUACUUUUUCGUGGGGGAUAACGUAGGGAAACUUCCGCUAAUACCGCAUACGACCUACGGGUUAAAGCAGGGGAUCUUCGGACCUUGCGCGAUUGAAUGAGCCGAUGUCGGAUUAGCUAGUUGGCGGGGUAAAGGCACACCAAGGCGACGAUCCGUAGCUGGUCUGAGAGGAUGAUCAGCCACACUGGAACUGAGACACGGUCCAGACUCCUACGGGAGGCAGCAGUGGGGAAUAUUGGACAAUGGGCGCAAGCCUGAUCCAGCCAUACCGCGUGGGUGAAGAAGGCCUUCGGGUUGUAAAGCCCUUUUGUUGGGAAAGAAAAGCAGCAGGUUAAUACCCCGCUGUUCUGACGGUACCCAAAGAAUAAGCACCGGCUAACUUCGUG